rnacentral:lncRNA from 1 species
GGCCACUAAAAUAACUAACAAAAUAAAAUAAAACAGGAAACUUAAACUUUAAAAUAUCUUCAGUAGACAGAAACAGCUGGACCACUUUAAUAACAUUUCUCUUUUCUCUGAAUCGUCACUGCCAUUAAAAGCAGAGCUAUUUAUAUCUGCAGAAAAGACUCUGGCUCCCACCUUGGGAGCUGCUGUCAGAUAUCUAGAUCGUAUGCUAAGGUUUGAUCCAUUCCAUAGUAGAAAGGUAAAGAGAUAGGAGAGUGAGGCUAGCUUUGGGCAUCCCCUAAGCCCUGAUGUGCCUACAACGACACUUUUAGACCUUUGUUGAUGUACAUUAAUUGUUUUUCCAGCUGGUGGAGCUAAGACAAUAGGCCUUUAGAAAGCAGAGCUAUUACCACUGCCUACCCAAAAGAGCACGAAGGUAAAUAACCCACACCUUCCUUCAAUGCUUCCUCUUCUAUAACAUGCGCAAGUAUUUGGAUCAAUGGUUUAAUAUUCUCUACUUGUGUUAUUUUUUUGUUGUGUUGAAAUUUUUUAAAAAAUGGAAAUAUUGUAGUACAUGAAUUGCAUUUUAAUUAUAAAUAUAUAUACUCCAGUGCUAUGAAGCAUGGACACGGACAUGCAAUACGGAUACGACACGAUAUGAAUACGGUGAUACAGUAAUUUUUAAAAAAUAAGGACACGAAUAUGGAAGGAUACGACAAUAAAAAAAUAUUUUAUAAUUUUUAUAUAUUUUUAUAUUAAAAUACUCAAAUGUAAAUGAAAAUAUUGAUAUUUUUGCUAUUUUUAAACUACUAUAAUUUGUUUUUGAUUUUCUUACCCUAUUAUAAUUAUAUAAUAUAUUAACUACUUUUGUUUCUUUCUUACGCAAACAGCCCUUUUUUUUUCCCAUUUACCCUUUUUUUCCCUCCUCAUCUACUACAGACAGCUUUACACUCAUAUACCCUUUAUUUUCUUCCCCAUUUACUCCUUUUUCUUCCCUCCUCAUUUACUACUUUUACCUUUGCCUUUGUAUUUCUUCUCUGCAAAACAUUCAUCUACAAAACUUUCAGCAUCAUCAUCUUCACUUCAUAUAAGCGAACAGACUCCAAAGAAGGCAAGUGUGUCAAAAAUCCCAUAAAUUAUCAUGAUUAAAUGUUAAAUUUAUGCUUUUUAUCUGUUUUCUAAAGUUCUAUUAUUGUAUAUGGGUUUUUUCCCCUUUCUGAUUCAGGCCAAAAGAAAGUCUGGUAGUGUGCCUUUUUUGACACGUGUCGAGGUGUGUCCAGUAUGUAUCUGGCUGUGUCGGCGGUGUGUCCGUGUCGGACACCAGUACGACACUGGUACGAGGGGAUUUUCCCCGUGUCGGUGCUUCAUAGAUCCGGUGGGAUGCUCCAAUGGGGUUGACGCAGGCAGGUUAGGUUUUCGGGCCGACACAUGUAGGAGAGAGGGUCAAGAGGUUUUAAAGGAGAAGAUGAAGAGAAGGAAAAUGAGGAAGAUAAGGAAGAAGAUGAUAAAGAAGUCUAAGUGCAGCGUGUUCUUAAGGAACAGGGGGAAAGUGGAUGCAAAGAUGUUACAGACAUUAGAUGAACAGUACGCCCUGUGAUUGCAGUGCAAAAGAAUCAAUGGAGUUUUGAGGGUAAUGGGGUUUUUUCUCUACUUCUCUUGCAAUGGCUAAGCUAUUUCUUUCUUUUUCUCUCUCUAUAUUUUAACAAUAUUCCAACACAAGCUUUUGAUGUUUUUGAAAAUUUCGAAACCAAUUUCAAAAGGAGUUGUUUGAAAAACAGGGAUCGACUUUUGAAAAAUGAAAACGAGAGUCGUCACUAAUCUUUUAAAGUGUGAUUGGAUCACUAUAUAAAACGUUUUGGUCUACGAAAUUGUGAGAAAACAGGUUCGGGAGUUAAUUACGUUCGAGGAAGGAUUAGCACCAUCGUAACGUUUAAAAUUGGCACCAAAUUGGAUAAAUAUUUAUCUCAAUGCCAAAAUUUUGAGAAUAUUAAAAAAAAUGCGAUAUUAAAAAAAAUGCGAUUUUCUUAUUUUCGUAAUAAUUCAAAUUAAGAGAAUCGAGAUUCAUUCGCUUUGAAGGAAUAAUAAAUAUCACAUUCAGCAUAAUUGGACACAAUACUUUUAAACUUUCGUCCCAUGAUUUAUAAAACCUGCUUAAAAAUGAUAUUUUAGAUAUUUAGAUAAAUGGAAAAUUGCAACUCAGCAUAUUAGGGUACUAUUUCUCAAAUUUCAAAACAUCUAAAACAUUGUCUCGUUCAUUUUCUAAAAGUUUUUUUUAAUGACUUUUGGUUUUGAAAGUAAUGAUAUGUUUCACAUAUUAUAAGAAAUUAAAUACAAUAUAUAUAUAUGCUUUAUCAUUUCAUGCAAAUAUAAUAAAGGUGACGAACAAGGAUUUAAAUUAUCUAAUAUGUUAUUAUUUCAUGCAUGGUCAUAAAUAGUAUCAUUACAUACACAAUACAACAUAGAAUAUAAUGAAUUCAAUAAUAUAAAUUGUAUAAUGC